UUAUUUUAGCAUGAAUGACAAAGGAGCACUUUUUUUAGAGCCAGUUUUACUCUGGUAUGGUGUAGAAGCUGUCUUGGGCUGCCUCAGCUGUGAGUUGUGGCCUCUGACUGGUGCUGUUUCGGUGGAAUGAAAGUUGGCCAGCAUAACCGCCCCUGGAAGUGUGGUAACAGACAGCCUGAGGCUAUGCAUUUCUUAAACUGUUCCAACUCAGCUGACAACAGUGUGUUAGUCUGUGGCUUCUGUGCUAAUUAGGCUAUGUCAUCAAUGUGCUUUUAGGAGCAGCAGAAUAAGAAACCCUUAAAGAUUGCUGCAAGUGCAUGAGAGUAGCCUACUAGAGGAAGCAAUAUCAAUAGAAGAUUCUGAGUAUAUUCUGUAGAUAGUACUGAAGGACUCAGUGCCUUUGUCGGAUUUCUCUUCCUUGAUGUCCCUGGGACUCAUCAAUUUCCAUACCACAGCCCCAGAGCAACA